AAAUUGAGGAGGAGGCCCAUGCCUGCAGAGAGUGAGUGAGAUCUGACAGCUAACUACUAAUUUAGGCUUCCAACUGUCGGUGAUUGAGAGGUUGCUGGGGAGCUGAUGGCCUGUUUCACAUUGAAAAGCUUUUUGACUUUUGAAGAGCAGCUGCAGGGAAAGGUUGUUUAGUUGGACUUUUAAUGGACGAAUUCCAGUUUUCAGUGCUUGGCCACCAACACCAGCAGCAGCACCAUUUGGUUUUAAUUUUGGGAAAACUGAGCAUUAGGUUAUGUGUGUUUUUGCAAGAAAAGCUGGAACUUUUUUUUGUUGAGGAAGAAGAUUGAUACUGAUUCAGACAUGCGUUUACAUUUUUAUUUUCAACUUUUUGUUAGAGAUUGCUAUGUGAGACUACUACUAACUCAACAUUUGUUUUCCUUAAGAUUUUUAAUCUUAUAGAUUAAUAAUGUUAGUUUCACUAACUUGGUAUGUGAUCAAGUACAUGAUUGGGUAAUGGCAAAUUUAAUGUUUGUUUUCUAC
rnacentral:sRNA from 1 species